ensembl:lncRNA
GUUACAAACAAUAACUCAUUAAAACAGUGCUUGCUAUGCUUCUUACCUUCCUUUUAACUGUCAAAAUUGUAAUCUGUAAGAAACUUUCCUCAGCUAUUAAAAUCCUCUAAUUUCAGCAGAGAAUGCAACAACAGAAUGUGGCAAAUCCUCCUCUUCUGUUGUAGAGAUUUUCAGUGAAAAUUCCCAGCCUUCUCUGACUUACAGUGUCUUGGGUAUUCUCACUGGGAGGAGUAAGCACUUUCAGGUGGGGCUGAGACUGCAGGUACUGUUCACAAAGAACCUGAAGAUAAGUAGCAAUGUUUGUCUGUUGCUGAGAGGUGUUGUGAGGUUUUGUGGACAUUCUGUGCUGAGAAAAUGCAAACACCAUAAAAUAUAGGAAGCCAGACUGUCAAACAAGGGACAAUCAAACUAAACAACCUGUUCUCCGUUCAAGCAUUCCGUUGUGCUAACAGCUACUGGCAAAAAACAUCCCAUUGUGUACACUGGAAUCUUCAAUUUGCUAGAUGCUAAUGUCUGAGUACUUCACCAUCUGUGGCAUAUUUAUUCUCCUGAGACCACUGUGAGGUAGAGAGAGAGUAUUAAAUCCAUCUUAAGAGUGAAGAAUAAGAGCCGCAACAACACUGGGAUCAAAUAGGUGAUCUGCGCUUGUGCAGAUCGAAGCUCUCCUGAUCACAGGCUAAAUCCUUAAUUAUUUCAUUUCCCCCUAUGCUCCCUCCAUUCUAGUCUUGUUCAAGCAGAGGCGUUCUGUAGAGCUGGCAGAAAAAAAAAGAAAAAAGAAAAAA